GUCUACAGGGAGGUACAUGAGUCCCUUUACAGAGGGCAGGAGGCCAUUACCGAGAUGAUCAUAAGACUUUAUGACCAGCCACCAGUGCACAGGUGGACUAUGGAUGAGUUUUGUAGUGUGAUGGCUUGGCCUCGAGGACAGGCACAUGGUAGUGGGUCCGGAGCUGCUGGAACUUCAGGAGGACAGGAUGAUGACCACGAGGAUGAUGAAGACUUUGAGGAUGCCCAGG
rnacentral:lncRNA from 1 species